rnacentral:rRNA from 1 species
GAUCCUGGCUCAGGACGAACGCUGGCGGCGUGCCUAACACAUGCAAGUCGAACGGACGAGGAGAAGCUUGCUUCUCCAAGUUAGUGGCGGACGGGCGAGUAACGCGUGAGCAACCUGCCCUUCAGUGGGGAACAACGGCUGGAAACGGCCGCUAAUACCGUAUAAUGUGUGGAAACCGCAUGGAGACCACACCAAAUGAGCAAUUCGCUGAAGGAUGGGCUCGCGUCCGAUUAGCUAGUUGGUG